ensembl:lncRNA
UUGGCAAUUUGAUCUCUGGUUCCUCUGCCUUUUCUAGAACUAGCUUGAACAUCUGGAAGUUCAUGGUUCACGUACUGUUGAAGCCUGGCUUGGAGAGUUUUAAGCAUUACUUUGCUAGCAUGAGAUGAGUGCCAUUGUGCGGUAGUUUGAGCAUUCUUUGGCAUUGCCUUUCUUUGGGAUUGGAAUGAAAACUGACCUUUUCCAGUCCCGUGGCCACUGCUGAGUUUUCCAAAUUUGCUAGCAUAUUGAGUGCAACACUUUCACAGCAUCAUCUUUUAGGAUUUGUAAUAGCUCAACUGGAAUUCCAUCACCUCCACUAUCUUUGUUCGUGGUGAUGCUUCCUAAGGCCCACUCGACUUCACAUUCCAGGAUGUCCGACUCUAGGUGAGUGAUCACAUCAUCGUGAUUAUCUGGGUCAUGAAGGUCUUUUUUGUACACUUCUUCUGUGUAUUCUUGCCACCUCUUCUUAAUACCUUUUGCUUCUGUUAGGUCCAUUCCAUUUCUGUCCUUUAUUGUGCCCUUUAUUGUGCAUGAAAUAUUCCCUUGGUAUCUCUAAUUUUCUUGAGGAGACCUCUAGUCUUUCUCAUUCUAUUGUUUUCCUCUAUUUCUUUGCAUUGAUCACUGAGGAAGGCAUUCUUAUCUCUCCUUGCUAUUCUUUGGAACUCUGCAUUCAGAUGCUUAUAUCUUUCCUUUUCUCCUUUGCUUUUCACUUCUCUUCUUUUCUCAGCUAUUUGUAAGGCUUCCUUAGACAACCAUUUUGCCUUUUUUGCAUUUCUUUUUCUUGGGGAUGGUCUUGAUCACUGCCUCCUGUAUAAUUUCACAAACCUUCAUCCACAAUUAUUCAGUUGCCAUAGUUCAUGAACUUACACAACUCAAACUUCUCUGAUUGCCAGUCAAUGCUCUCCACAGCAGGGCUUCAACCAUUGUCUCCAAAUUUUCAUUUUGUUGGAAAGAUGCGGACAUUUUUUGUUUUAGUUCCGUUUCAGUGACAGCAGCGCCAUCUACUGGACAGUCUUUGUUCUAAAUAGAACUGAGCAUCAACAUUCUAGACUCCUAAAAACAGUGAUUCCUAAGCCCAGUGGUUCCUCAUAAUCACGUGGAGAGGUAUAAUUCUGGUUCUGAUUCCCACCCCAGGCCCACCUGCGAAUCAAAUCAGUGAUUGGUGGUAGAAUCUAUGAAGAAGCGAGGCUCUUGAUUCGAGUCCUGAAGCUGCUUUGGAGCAGUUCUGUAGGCUGUUCCUGGAUAUUCAAAGCCUCCAUCUGGGGUCUUGCCACCCCUCCCCGGUCUAACCCUGUGUCCUUCAUUGUGAUACAGUUUUUUCCUUUACCCUUCCUCCGGUUUAGCAAAGCAUCUCUCUCAAUAUUUCAUUCCCUCUCAGAAAUCUAUCGGAGAAGGCAAUGGCGACCCACUCCAGUACUCUUGCCUGGAAAAUCCCAUGGACAAAGGAGCCUGGUAGGCUGCAGUCCAUGGGGUCGCUAAGAGUCGGACAUUGACUGAGCGACUUCAUUUUGACUUUUCACUUUCAUGCACUGGAGAAGGAAAUGGCAACCCACUCCAGUGUUCUUGCCUGGAGAAUCCCAGGGACGGAGGAGCCUGGUGGGCUGCCGUCUAUGGGGUCGCACAGAGUCGGCCAUGAUUGAAGCGACUUAGCAGCAGCAGCAGCAGCAGCAGCAGCAAUCUAUACAACUGGAAGUGACAGCAUCGGGGAAAAUUAGUGGGUGAAACUCUUGUUGGAAUUUCUGCUCUGAAUUGUGGAAGCAGGUGUGUGCAGCGUGAAGACUCUUCUGAGGAAGCCGGGCGGAAGCUGCGGGAGCCCUGGGUUUUAUAAGAACCCUCAGCCAAAACUGAGACGUGCUUCUUGAGCAGCUCUCACAGUUUGAGCUCUGGUGCUAAACACAUCGGAUGGGACCUUGGAGGAUGACAAGGACACACUAGAGAAAGCUUUUUGGAACCCCAAAACCAACAUGGGAAGAAGAUGGGUUAGUUUGUUGGAAAAUGAGAGACUGUGUGAUGUGGAACAGAGAUAAGCUGUUUCAACUGAGGGCCCCUCUUCCUUCUGCUUUAGACCUCCAAGCCUGCAACAUGUGUGUACAAGGCCAUCCUAGAUGAUCUACCCCCGACUGGAAAGAUUCACCAAGUCAGCAGAAAAACCACACUGAUGACCCAGAGAAUUAUGAUAAAUAAUAAAUGUUUUGCU